AAAAUGUUUCGAUAUGCUGACAAAUAACUAAGAACGCUGACAUAUUUGGGUCCAAACUGAAAGAAAGAAUGGGUUCUGCUGCUGCAGUUCAUCUCCAGCAAUAACACAGAACAAUGGUGCGCCGCAGUUCAUCUCUAGCAAUAACACAGAACAAUGGCGAGUACAAGCAAUGCUAACUCUGGAACAGAACUGGCAGUGAUCGGAUAAUCGGCUCUCUUCUCUGAAGCUAGAAUAUCAGGUCCUGUUGGUUGUCCCACAGAAAGCCAAUUAUUGAGAGAAUGAGUAUUGCCAGAGAAGAAGGCUUUAUUCGGGUGCUCCAGUUGAGAAGAUGGGAGGU
rnacentral:lncRNA from 1 species